rnacentral:rRNA from 1 species
AACGAACGCUGGCGGCAUGCCUAACACAUGCAAGUCGAACGAGACCUUCGGGUCUUGUGGCGCACGGGUGCGUAACGCGUGGGAACCUGCCCUUAGGUUCGGAAUAACUCCCCGAAAGGGGUGCUAAUACCGGAUAAUGUCUUCGGACCAAAGAUUUAUCGCCUUUGGAUGGGCCCGCGUUGGAUUAGCUAGUUUGUAGGGUAAAAGCCUAACAAGGCGACGAUCCAUAGCUUGUCUGAGAGGAUGAUCAGCCACACUGGGACUGAGACACGGCCCAGACUCCUACGGGAGGCAGCAGUGGGGAAUAUUGGACAAUGGGAGAAAGCCUGAUCCAGCAAUGCCGCGUGAGUGAUGAAGGCCUUAGGGUUGUAAAGCUCUUUUAACCGGGAUGAUAAUGACAGUACCGGGAGAAUAAGCUCCGGCUAACUACGUG